UACGAAGGGUGCUAGCGUUGUUCGGAAUUACUGGGCGUAAAGCGCGCGUAGGCGGCUUAUCAAGUCGGGGGUGAAAUCCUGGGGCUCAACCCUAGAAUUGCCUUCGAAACUGAUAAGCUAGAGUGUCGGAGGGGAUAGCGGAAUUGCUAAUGUAGAGGUGAAAUUCGUAGAUAUUAGCAGGAACACCGGUGGCGAAGGCGGCUAUCUGGACGACAACUGACGCUGAGGCGCGAAAGCGUAGGGAUCAAACAGG
rnacentral:rRNA from 1 species